UACGUAGGGUGCGAGCGUUGUCCGGAAUUACUGGGCGUAAAGAGCUCGUAGGUGGUUUGUCGCGUUGUUCGUGAAAACCGGGGGCUUAACCCUCGGCGUGCGGGCGAUACGGGCAGACUUGAGUACUGCAGGGGAGACUGGAAUUCCUGGUGUAGCGGUGGAAUGCGCAGAUAUCAGGAGGAACACCGGUGGCGAAGGCGGCUCUCUGGGACGGUACUGACGCUGAGACGCGAAAGCGUGGGGAGCGAACAGG
rnacentral:rRNA from 1 species